CGAACACAUCUUCCUUUUUUAAGAAUGAUUUCUGUGCCGUUCUUUUCUCAAAGAAAAGCUGAACUCCAAGUCUUCCAGAAGACAGUUGUUCCCAGCAGCUGCAACCAUAAGCCUGCCCACCAACUCUAUACACGAUGUGAUUGGCCUGACCAAAAUUAGUUUUUUCCAGCUCGCAAGCCAACGGAGAGUGCCUAGACUGACCCUGGCUACAAAAUAAAUUUGCUGCCACUAGGUCUAGGGGAUGCCUAGGACGCAACAUGAAAAGGCCCCAUCUUCCCCGUCUCCCAAGUAGCCACAAACAAUUAGUAGAUCAGCUGUUUCCCUGAUGACAAAGAAGUUGGACCUCCCGACCAGAUGAGAAGCGUGGCUGACUACAAGACAAGUCGGAGAGCGAUGGUCACCUGUGUUUUAGUCAACAAAUAGAGGAAGGACUCUUUGGCAUUCCUGGGCCACGUGUGAAUGGAUGUGGACCAGCUGAUCGUCCCAGGACAGGACACUACUACAUGUAGCACACAGUGAACCACUCUCCGCACACAGCCUCCUGGGUCGGCCCAGACUAAGCCUUCCUACACAGCCUACUGUUCACUCUUUUUCUUUUUUACCGCUUGACUGGUUUGGUGUUGAAUUCAAUAAAAGAACAUCAGCCAUCUGA